CUGUCCUCCGACCACCGAAACACCUGCUGCUGGGACUUCAUGAGCGGCAACCGCCGCAGCGAAUCGACGACCCGCCUGCUGGGACCCACUGGGACUGAACUGAACAUUAAGACCAGAGGAUCCCGCUGUAGACGCUGACGCCUCCCGCUCCGCACCUGAUCUUAAUAAACUGUUAAACUUGAA